rnacentral:rRNA from 1 species
UACGUAGGGGGCAAGCGUUGUCCGGAAUUAUUGGGCGUAAAGAGCGUGUAGGCGGCCAGGCAGGUCUGUUGUGAAAACUGGAGGCUCAACUUCCAGACGUCGACAGAAACCGCUUGGCUAGAGUCCGGAAGAGGAGAGUGGAAUUCCUGGUGUAGCGGUGAAAUGCGCAGAUAUCAGGAAGAACACCGAUGGCGAAGGCAGCUCUCUGGGACGGUACUGACGCUGAGACGCGAAAGCGUGGGGAGCGAACAGG